rnacentral:ncRNA from 1 species
GGUUAAGUUAGAAAGGGCGCACGGUGGAUGCCUUGGCACUAGGAGCCGAAGAAGGACGUGACGAACAACGAUAUGCCUCGGGGAGCUGUAAGUAAGCUUUGAUCCGGGGAUUUCCGAAUGGGGGAACCCANCAUCCGUAAUGGGAUGGUACCCAUAGCUGAAUACAUAGGCUAUGAGGAGGCAGACCUGGGGAACUGAAACAUCUAAGUACCCAGAGGAAGAGAAAGAAAUUAUCGAUUUCCCNAGUAGCGGCGAGCGAAACGGAAACAGCCCAAACCAAGGGGCUUGCCCCUUGGGGUUGUAGGACACUCUACACGGAGUUACAAAGAAACGAAGUAGACGAAGCGAUCUGGAAAGGUCCGCGAAACAAGGUAACAGCCCUGUAAUCGAAACUUCGUUUCCUCCAGAGUGUAUCCUGAGUACGGCGGGACACGUGAAACCCCGUCGGAAUCCGGGAGGACCAUCUCCCAAGGCUAAAUACUUCCUAGUGACCNCGAAGCGAUCUGGAAAGGUCCGCGAAACAAGGUAACAGCCCUGUAAUCGAAACUUCGUUUCCUCCAGAGUGUAUCCUGAGUACGGCGGGACACGUGAAACCCCGUCGGAAUCCGGGAGGACCAUCUCCCAAGGCUAAAUACUUCCUAGUGACCGAUAGUGAACCAGUACCGUGAGGGAAAGGUGAAAAGCACCCCGGGAGGGGAGUGAAAGAGAUCCUGAAACCGUGUGCCUACAAGUAGUUGGAGCCCUAUGUUUUUUCUUUGGAAAAAACCCGGGUGACAGCGUGCCUUUUGUAGAAUGAACCGGCGAGUUACGAUUACGUGCAAGGUUAAGCUGAUAAGGCGGAGCCGCAGCGAAAGCGAGUCUGAAUAGGGCGAAUGAGUACGUGGUCGUAGACCCGAAACCGUGUGAUCUACCCAUGUCCAGGGUGAAGUUCAGGUAACACUGAAUGGAGGCCCGAACCCACGCACGUUGAAAAGUGCGGGGAUGAGGUGUGGGUAGGGGUGAAAUGCCAAUCGAACU